rnacentral:rRNA from 1 species
GAUGAACGCCAGCGACAGGCCUAACACAUGCAAGUCGAGGGGUAACAGGGAAGCUUGCUUCCGCUGACGACCGGCGCACGGGUGAGUAACGCGUAUGCAACCUGCCUAUUACAGGGGGAUAGCCCGGAGAAAUCCGGAUUAAUACCCCAUAGUCAUUAUAGUCCGCAUGGAUUUAAAUGUAAAGAAUUUCGGUAAUAGAUGGGCAUGCGUAAGAUUAGUUAGUUGGUGAGGUAACGGCUCACCAAGACCACGAUCUUUANGGGUUCUGAGAGGAAGGUCCCCCACACUGGUACUGAGACACGGACCAGACUCCUACGGGAGGCAGCAGUGAGGAAUAUUGGGCAAUGGAGGCAACUCUGACCCAGCCAUGUCGCGUGCAGGAAGACUGCCCUAUGGGUUGUAAACUGCUUUUAUAUAGGAAUAGCUAUGCGAUUCGUUCGCAAAAUGAAUGUACUAUAUGAAUAAGGAUCGGCUAACUCCGUGCCAGCAGCCGCGGUAAUACGGAGGAUUCGAGCGUUAUCCGGAUUUAUUGGGU